AAGCAAGAAGGCUCUUGCAGGAGACCCUGAGUCUGUAGGGGAGAAAGGGUCUCCAGGUAAGUACAGCUGGGAGUUACCUGUCAAGGCAGAGAAGAGGCCAAGCUCCAGGAAAAGCUCUGGGAGUCAGGGCUCUGGUGUGUUGGGACACCCUCAGCAGCGCUGCGCAAUUCCUGAGGUGGUGCCAGCUCAGUGCCCUCAUCCAGCAAAAGGAGCUGUGGCGAAGCUGUGACUGCCAGAGGGCUCACUGCCUGGCAGCUGGACCAGAGGAGCCAGGACAAGCUGGAUGCCAUCUGCAGCGGUGAGUGGUAACCGCUUUGAGCACUGAGAGUUAGGGGGACGAAUGGCCCAG